GGCUAGUAUGGUGUAGUGGUUUGAGUGUUGGACUACAACUCUGGAGACCAGGGUUCGAUUCUCAGCUCAGCCA